AUUGAACGCUGGCGGCAGGCUUAACACAUGCAAGUCGAGCGAGUGGCGGACGGGUGAGUAAUGUCUGGGAAACUGCCUGAUGGAGGGGGAUAACUACUGGAAACGGUAGCUAAUACCGCAUACCAUCGGAUGUGCCCAGAUGGGAUUAGGUAGUAGGUGGGGUAACGGCUCACCUAGGCGACGAUCCCUAGCUGGUCUGAGAGGAGGACCAGCCACACUGGAACUGAGACACGGUCCAGACUCCUACGGGAGGCAGCAGUGGGGAAUAUUGCACAAUGGGCGCAAGCCUGAUGCAGCCAUGCCGCGUGUAUGAAGAAGGCCUUCGGGUUGUAAAGCACUUUCAGCGGGGAGGCGUUACCCGCAGAAGAAGCACCGGCUAACUCCGUGCCAGCAGCCGCGGUAAUUC
rnacentral:rRNA from 1 species